UACGUAGGGUGCUAGCGUUGUUCGGAAUCAUUGGGCGUAAAGCGCGUGUAGGCUGUUAGGUAAGCCGAUUGUGAAAUCCCUGGGCUCAACCGAGGAAGUGCACUCGAAACUGCGCAGCUAGAGUCCUGGAGAGGAAGGUGGAAUGCUUGGUGUAGAGGUGAAAUUCGUAGAUAUCAAGCGGAACACCGGUGGCGAAGGCGGCCUUCUGGACAGUGACUGACGCUGAGAUGCGAAAGCGUGGGGAGCAAACAGG
rnacentral:rRNA from 1 species